ACGAACGCUGGCGGCGUGCUUAACACAUGCAAGUCGAACGGAAAGGCCCUGCUUGCAGGGUACUCGAGUGGCGAACGGGUGAGUAACACGUGGGUGAUCUGCCCUGCACUUCGGGAUAAGCCUGGGAAACUGGGUCUAAUACCGGAUAGGAGCCAUUUUUAGUGUGAUGGUUGGAAAGUUUUUUCGGUGUAGGAUGAGCUCGCGGCCUAUCAGCUUGUUGGUGGGGUAAUGGCCUACCAAGGCGGCGACGGGUAGCCGGCCUGAGAGGGUGGAUGGCCACAUUGGGACUGAGAUACGGCCCAGACUCCUACGGGAGGCAGCAGUGGGGAAUAUUGCACAAUGGGCGCAAGCCUGAUGCAGCGACGCCGCGUGGGGGAUGACGGCCUUCGGGUUGUAAACUCCUUUCGCUAGGGACGAAGCUUUUUGUGACGGUACCUAGAUAAGAAGCACCGGCUAACUACGUG
rnacentral:rRNA from 1 species